AGGAUGUCUCACAGAGAUGCAAGGUUUUCUUCCUAUUUACAAAUGAGUGCUCAUUUUCCGGUGAUCUGAUUUAGAAUAUAGAGUGGGUCAUUUCUAUUUCUGUUUUUGAGUGCCUAUGCUUAUGUAGUCAAAGGCCACUCAGGUACUUUCUAUGUGCCAAACAAAGCACUGUGAAACUGCCAGGUGUAGCAGAUAGCAACCUUGGUAAGGUCAGUCUAAAGGAGGCCUGACUGCCAACUGAAUGCCUUUAGGUUUUACUUGGCAGUCUAGGUGAGUGCCUUAUCUAAUAUAGGAGGUGCUUUAGGUGAAUACCUUAUUGUAUUUAAUGGUCCCUUGCUAUAAGUUUACAUUAAAGUCCUUCAUUUUAAAGGCAUCAGUGAUUUUUGGAAUAAUUAUGACAUUUCUCAAUUUUCAAAUAAAGCCAAGGGUGCAUCUAUUUUUUGGUUGUGUACUGUUUAGUUCUAUGUAAGAUACUUUUCAGGCUUGGUGCUUGAGCAGGCCUUGAUCAUUCAUACAGUCCAGCCUAUAUUAAGGAAAAGAGCAUUUCUUUUUAUUUGUUUCCUAGCAUAGUUAUUAAAGGCUCAAGGCACACUAAGGCGCCCAGGAGACCUGGAGCCUAGGCGCAAGGCACAAAACACAAGCGCGUGCCUGAGCAAGGUGAGGCGCAAAAGUAAAAAAU
rnacentral:misc_RNA from 1 species